rnacentral:rRNA from 1 species
AUUGAACGCUGGCGGCAUGCCUUACACAUGCAAGUCGAACGGCAGCACGGGAGCAAUCCUGGUGGCGAGUGGCGAACGGGUGAGUAAUAUAUCGGAACGUGCCCGGUCGUGGGGGAUAACGUAGCGAAAGCUUCGCUAAUACCGCAUACGAUCUACGGAUGAAAGCGGGGGAUCGCAAGACCUCGCGCGAUUGGAGCGGCCGAUAUCAGAUUAGGUAGUUGGUGAGGUAAAGGCUCACCAAGCCGACGAUCUGUAGCUGGUCUGAGAGGACGACCAGCCACACUGGGACUGAGACACGGCCCAGACUCCUACGGGAGGCAGCAGUGGGGAAUUUUGGACAAUGGGCGCAAGCCUGAUCCAGCAAUGCCGCGUGCAGGAUGAAGGCCUUCGGGUUGUAAACUGCUUUGUACGGAACGAAACGGUGAGCUCUAAUACAGUUUGCUAAUGACGGUACCGUAAGAAUAAGCACCGGCUAACUACGUG